AAUAUUAACAGUUAGGCCAUGUUCGUUUUCCUACAACAUACAUUGUUUGUUUGUCUGUCAGUGGAUUCAGCGACCAGUUACAGCGACAAUCGUUAAUAAUUGUCGUUGUGUUGUUCGUUUGACUGUCGCUCUAGACAGUCGCUAUAUGUUUAAAAAAUUUAAUUAUUUUUUGUGCUAAUUUAUAUUUUAAAA
rnacentral:sRNA from 1 species